rnacentral:SRP_RNA from 1 species
GCUGGGCGUGGUGGCACGUGCCUGUAAUCCCAGCUACUUGGGAGGCUGAGGCUGGGGAAUCGCUUGAACCCAGGAGACAGAGGUUGCAGUGAGCUGAGAUCACGCCACUGCAUUCCAGCCUGGGUGACAGAGCGAGACUCUGCCUCAA